GGGCUUUAAUCCUAAACAGCAAGGAAUAAGUCGCUGACACUUCCUUUCGUGGCCGAGUUGGCAGAUAACAAAAGUGGCACAAGGACGGUUAAAGUGAACAUGGCCCCCAGCGUGCAGUUGAACGAUGCAGUGUCCGACGUAAAAAAGGGAAUUCGGGCAAUCCUUCUCGGACCCCCUGGUGCUGGGAAAGGAACACAGGCUCCUCGGUUGGCAGAGCAGUACUGUGUGUGUCAUCUGGCCACGGGGGACAUGCUGAGGGCAAUGGUGGCCUCUGGCUCUGAGCUCGGCAAGAGGCUCAAGGAGACCAUGGAUGCCGGGAAACUGGUCAGUGACGAGAUGGUGGUAGAACUCAUAGAAAAGAACCUGGACACGCCUCCCUGUAAGAAGGGGUUCCUAUUGGACGGAUUCCCCCGCACAGUGAAACAAGCAGAGAUGCUGGAUGACUUGCUGGAGAAGCGCACAGAGAAGCUGGACUCUGUGAUUGAGUUCUCCGUCGAUGACUCCCUACUGGUGCGCAGGAUCUGUGGCAGACUAAUUCACCAGCCCAGUGGUCGCUCCUACCACGAGGAGUUCAAUCCACCCAAAGAGCCCAUGAAGGAUGACGUGACAGGGCAGCCGCUGAUGCGCCGCAGCGACGACAACGCGUCGACGCUGCGCUCGCGGCUGGAGGCCUACCACCGGCAGACGGUGCCCUUAGUCAAGUACUACAGCGCCCGCGGCCUGCACAAGGCCGUCGACGCCGCCCAGUCCCCCGACGUCGUCUUCGCCUCCAUCCUCGCCGCCUUCUCCUCGGCUACAGCCGCCCCCUGUAAAGACCUGGUGCUCUUCGUCUAAGCUCCCUUCCACUUCAGUCGCUUCUUCACUCUCAGGACUCUGGUCCGUGCUCCUUUCGUCUAGCUUUCCAACUCUCCUCCUCGGGACUAGUCUGUGCUCCGUUCUCUACAGCUCUACUUUCUGGUGGGGUGUACUUGUAUUUGAAUGCGCUCCUCUACUGGGACUUUCCCCGGAAACUACAGAGAAUAGCUGAUUUUAUAAUGCUGAUUGAAUCCUGGCAAUGGAAGCAAGCGGAGGAAGGAGGACAUGUUGUACUGUAGCACUUCAUUGUGAGAUGUUUCUGGAGGAUGAGUGAGCAUAAUGCAGUGCAAUCUACCAUUAAUUAGUGAAGCAAUCUUGGAAGUGACUUAUGUUUCCCUUCUAAUAAAAAGAUGCUUUUCUACAAUCAUGACAA